rnacentral:rRNA from 1 species
UACGAAGGGGGCUAGCGUUGUUCGGAAUCACUGGGCGUAAAGGGCGUGUAGGCGGCCGAUCAAGUCGGGGGUGAAAGCCUGUGGCUCAACCACAGAAUUGCCUUCGAUACUGUUUGGCUUGAGACCGGAAGAGGUUAGUGGAACUGCGAGUGUAGAGGUGAAAUUCGUAGAUAUUCGCAAGAACACCAGUGGCGAAGGCGGCUGACUGGUCCGGUUCUGACGCUGAGGCGCGAAAGCGUGGGGAGCAAACAGG